ACACUCCUGCGGGAGGCAGCAGUGGGGAAUAUUGGACAAUGGGCGCAAGCCUGAUCCAGCCAUGCCGCGUGAGUGAUGAAGGCCCUAGGGUUGUAAAGCUCUUUCACCGGUGAAGAUAAUGACGGUAACCGGAGAAGAAGCCCCGGCUAACUUCGUGCCAGCAGCCGCGGUAAUACGAAGGGGGCUAGCGUUGUUCGGAUUUACUGGGCGUAAAGCGCACGUAGGCGGACUAUUAAGUCAGGGGUGAAAUCCCGGGGCUCAACCCCGGAACUGCCUUUGAUACUGGUAGUCUUGAGUUCGAGAGAGGUGAGUGGAAUUCCGAGUGUAGAGGUGAAAUUCGUAGAUAUUCGGAGGAACACCAGUGGCGAAGGCGGCUCACUGGCUCGAUACUGACGCUGAGGUGCAAAAGCGUGGGGAGCAAACAGGAUUAGAAACCCGUGUAGUCCC
rnacentral:rRNA from 1 species